rnacentral:rRNA from 1 species
AACGAACGCUGGCGGCAUGCCUAACACAUGCAAGUCGAACGAGACCUUCGGGUCUAGUGGCGCACGGGUGCGUAACGCGUGGGAAUCUGCCCUAGGGUGCGGAAUAACUCGGAGAAAUCCGUGCUAAUACCGCAUAACGUCUUCGGACCAAAGAUUUAUCGCCCUGGGAUGAGCCCGCGUAAGAUUAGCUAGUUGGUGGGGUAAAGGCCUACCAAGGCGACGAUCUUUAGCUGGUCUGAGAGGAUGAUCAGCCACACUGGGACUGAGACACGGCCCAGACUCCUACGGGAGGCAGCAGUGGGGAAUAUUGGACAAUGGGCGAAAGCCUGAUCCAGCAAUGCCGCGUGAGUGAUGAAGGCCCUAGGGUUGUAAAGCUCUUUUACCCGGGAUGAUAAUGACAGUACCGGGAGAAUAAGCUCCGGCUAACUCCGUGCCAGCCGCCGCAGUAACAC